rnacentral:rRNA from 1 species
UUCCCCUAGUAACUGCGAGUGAAGCGGGAAAAGCUCAAAUUUAAAAUCUGGCGGUCUCUGGCUGUCCGAGUUGUAAUUUAGAGAAGCGUCUUCCGCGCCGGGCCGUGCACAAGUCUCCUGGAAUGGAGCGUCAUAGAGGGUGAGAAUCCCGUCUUUGGCACGGAUGCCUGUGCUUCUGUGAUGCGCUCUCGAAGAGUCGAGUUGUUUGGGAAUGCAGCUCAAAAUGGGUGGUGAACUCCAUCUAAAGCUAAAUAUUGGCGAGAGACCGAUAGCGAACAAGUACCGUGAGGGAAAGAUGAAAAGCACUUUGGAAAGAGAGUGAAACAGUACGUGAAAUUGUUGAAAGGGAAACGCUUGAAGUCAGUCGCGUCGACCGAGACUCAGCCUUGCCUUGGCUUGGUGUACUUCUCGGCCCGACGGGUCAGCAUCAAUUUUGCCCCUCGGAUAAUGGCAAGGGAAAGGUGGCACCUUUGCGGGUGUGUUAUAGUCUCCUGUCGCAUGCGAGGGGUGGGAUUGAGGAACUCAGCGCGCACCUUUGGUGUCGGGGCUUCGGCCCACGUCACGCGCUUAGGAUGCUGGCGUAAUGGCUUUAAACGACCCGUCUUGAAACACGGACCAAGGAGUCCAACACGCCCGCGAGUGUUCGGGUGGAAAACCCGUGCGCGCAAUGAAAGUGAAAGUUGGGACCUCUGUCGUGGAGGGCACCGACGCCCGGACCAGACCUUCUGUGACGGAUCUGCGGUAGAGCGUGUGUGUUGGGACCCGAAAGAUGGUGAACUAUGCCUGAAUAGGGUGAAGCCAGAGGAAACUCUGGUGGAGGCUCGUAGCGAUUCUGACGUGCAAAUCGAUCGUCAAAUUUGGGUAUAGGGGCGAAAGACU